rnacentral:rRNA from 1 species
UACGGAGGGUGCGAGCGUUAUCCGGAUUCACUGGGUUUAAAGGGUGCGUAGGUGGGAAUGUAAGUCAGUGGUGAAAUCUCUGAGCUUAACUCAGAAACUGCCAUUGAUACUAUGUUUCUUGAAUUUUCUGGAGGUCAGCGGAAUAUGUCAUGUAGCGGUGAAAUGCUUAGAUAUGACAUAGAACACCAAUUGCGAAGGCAGCUGGCUACAGGGAUAUUGACACUGAGGCACGAAAAGCGUGGGGGAGCGAACAGG